CGUAACGCGUAUGCAAUCUACCUUUGCAGAGGGAUAGCCCAGAGAAAUUGGAUUAAUACCUCAUAGUAUAGUACUUUGGCAUCAAGGAACUAUUAAAGUUCCAACGGUGAAAGAUGAGCAUGCGUCCCAUUAGCUAGAUGGUAAGGUAACGGCUUACCAUGGCUACGAUGGGUAGGGGUCCUGAGAGGGAGAUCCCCCACACUGGUACUGAGACACGGACCAGACUCCUACGGGAGGCAGCAGUGAGGAAUAUUGGUCAAUGGACGCAAGCCUGAUCCAGCCAUGCCGCGUGCAGGAAGAAGGUCCUAUGGAUUGUAAACUGCUUUUAUACAAGAAGAAACACUCCCUCGUGAGGGAACUUGACGGUACUGUAUGAAUAAGGACCGGCUAACUCCGUG
rnacentral:rRNA from 1 species